rnacentral:rRNA from 1 species
AUGGCUGCUUCGGCGGCCUUCGCGGCGGUGGCGGUCGUGAUGCUGGUGGCAGCGCACUUGGCCGCUGCGGCGGCGGCGGCUCCGGUGACGGCCCCAGCGUUCCUCUGGGCGCCGGAGAACUAUGGAUUCAGUUCCAAUGAGGCUAAAGGAGUAGUCCACUAUCAGACAAUGUCACCAGCAAGUUUAGCUAAAUCUGUUCUUGAUGAAGGUGGCUGGUCAAACUUGGUGUGUUCAAGGGAGGGCUCUUAUAAGAACGCUGACAUUGCUGUUGUUUUUCUUGGCUCGAAGCUACAAUCGUCAGACAUCUCUAAAGAUAAGCAAGUUGAUCCAUCUUUAGCAGACACACUAAAGCUGUCCUUCACAGGCUCAGAGUUUUCCAUGGCAUUUCCUUAUGUUGCUUUGGCAGAUAAUGACAAAUUGGAGAGCACAUUGCUGUCUGGACUUGCUGAGAAUUGUGACAACGAUUUUCGCGGAAACCACAUCACAUACACAGACACGUGUACUGUAAGUGGUGAAGAUCUGAAGAAACAUCAAAGCAUGGAUUCUAUUCGCGACUUGGUGAUGUCACAGAAGAGAAACAAUCCAAGGGGAAAGACUGAUCUAAUUGUCUUCUGUAAUGGUGGUUUCAAGGAUUUAGAUAAUGCAAAAUCAGAAGGGGAGUUGCUUUCCGAGCUGGUUUCUGUGCUGAAAAUGUCUGGGGCCAGAUAUACAGUUCUUUAUGCUUCUGAACCCUAUGGUUUACUGGAGAACACUUCCAACCUACCAUUAGCCAGGUAUCUUGCAGAGAAGACCAACACUACUACUAAAUCUGGCCUAGGCAAAUGUGAUGGGGAGUGCCUAGUAAAAUCAAGUCUUCUGGAAGGAACUUUUGUUGGACUAGUGCUGCUGAUCAUUUUGAUAUCAGGACUCUGCUGUAUGAUGGGAAUCGAUACCCCCUCGAGGUUUGAGGCUCCCCAGGAUUUGGUAGGAGAGUACAAAUCCCAUUGA